GAGGUGCAAGGGAACAGAUUAUUAUUAUUUUCAGCAUAUAUUCAAGGCCUUUAUGUUGAGCUUUCUGAAAAUUCUGAAUACAAGCUUGUUUUUAGAAUAAAAACUUCCAUAGGUGUUGCUAAUCCAUAGGCUGGGGUCAUUCAUACAUGUAAGCAAACCGUGGUCAGUUAUGAGAAUGAAUCUCAAGUCUCUUGUGAUUUCCUCCAUUCCUUCUCUUUUGUGCCCACAACGAAGGAACAAAAAACUUAGUUCCUUGUGAUAUCUGAACAUGGGGAACUGUUACUUGUUUACAGUAUUUGUAAUAAGAAGUGAUGAUCCAACCAUGGUGUUGAGUGAAUUGAAAGUAGAAGCUUUUUAUCUCCUUGAGAGUCGCAGAAGCAGUAGGGUGCACAAAAGCCCGUGGCUCACUCUCCAAAUUGGAGACCAUAGUUUCUUGCUACAUCUGAACUUGGCCAUUAUGGAAAGGAAUUUUGAUACUUUAACAAAUUCGUACCUCUGACAUUAAAAAAAUGAUUUAUGUAAUACAGUUGUCUUAAUAAUUGUACUGGUCUAACUACUAUGCAAGAGUGAUGUAAAAUUUCUGAACAGCAGAUUGGUUUUUUUUACAUUUUUCACUUUUACUGCAUUAGUUCAGAAUAUUUUAUCACUUGGAGGGGAAACACCCACUUUCUACUGAGUGUCAUAUAGCACUGGUCAAGCUGGAAGGUGAGCACUCUAGUUGGGGUUUUUUUCCCUAUACAUUAAUUCUGCUUUACAGAUUCCAUAUCUGAUUUGUGUGGGGCUUAAAAGUUGAGACCAAAUCUUUGCUUGAUCAUUGGAAUUUUGUUAAUUUUGAUUGCAUGUAUUUUUAACUUAAUUGGGUUGUGUUUUUCUAAAAUUUAAAUUUUUCUUCUUCCUAUAGCCCUGCCAUAGGACAGGCUGAGGCAGAGUCUCAGUGUUGCCCUGUUCAGUCUGAGGCAAGUGGGAUUUAUUUUAUUCAUUCUAGGGGCUUUCACAGCUUUAUAGCUGUUGGAUAUUCAUGUCCCCAAACUUGCAGCAAGUUUGGUGAAGGCUCCUAUCUUUAAUUUAAUUUAGGAUUUUUAUAAUCUUUUGAUGGGCUCUAUAUUAAUAUUGAUACUCUGACUUUAGUGCUUAAAUUUAUUGUUGUUAGCAGUCAGAAAUCUUUAAAUGAGUCAAAACAUAUCCUGUUCAAUUGUUGAUCCCUCCAUCACCUUACCCUCUGAAACUUGGUGUAGCGAUGCCAUAUUUUAACAGCAAGAUGACUGCCUUUGACAUGGUGCUGUGAAUUUUAAAAGUCCAGGAGUUUUGUUGGCUGUGUUUAGUAUUGUUAAGAAAAUGCCUGUGUUGAAAUCAGUUUUUCUCCACUGAUACACACCUCUGCAGUUGGGGGUCAGUGACAUCAACCUAACAGAAAUGUACCUGAAACAAUUACCUUAUCAUUAAAUAUGUUAUCUGUCAUAAGUUAAUAUUAAUGUAGAGCCCACAGAGUGGAGAAAAAUGCAGUUGUGAGUUUCAUAAGAUGAACAAGUGAGAUAAAUGUUUAGUAGGAAACAUUCUUUCAACAGCCUGAUUUUAAAGGUAAACAACUUGCCAUAUUUAUGUGCACUGGAACAUAAUGAGCAUAGACAUUUAGGUAUUCCUAGUGUAAGCAAUUUUCCAUAUAUUAUGCACAGAACAUAAAACAAACGUUUAGGGGUUUUGGUGCCAUUUGAAUCCUUCCUUAGAAAAUGUAUUGCUAGACUCAUGUGAAAACACAUGCAUUACUUUAAAAGAAAGAUUUAAAAUUAUGAGGAAAGCUGCUGAUAAAAGAUUUCCAAGAAUACUUGAGAAUCUACUUCUAUCCGCAGCUCUUGCAACAAAUCUAGUUUUCGUUUGAGAGAGUUUGAAGCUUUCACAAGGCACCUAGGUUUUCUGGGUGGUCCCUUCAGUUUGCACUUGCAGAGCCUCAAACUGCUUCUUAAACACUUACUUAGUUUUUUAAGAGUUUGGGAAUUUGGUGUGAGAGACUGUUUCCCCUUAAUUCAAGGGAUGGCCCUCCAUAAGUUGUUGGGCUCCAAAUCUCAUCAGCACCCAGCCACUAUUGUCAGUGAUCAAGGCUUGCAUGAGUUUCUAUCCAGCAUCAUUUGGAGGGCUAAAAGUUCUCCAUCCCUGCCUUACACAGUCCUCUCACCCAAUCCUCAAAGUGCUUUUCCAAAUUCAAGUGUCAAUUUCUUUUCUGUGGCAUCUACUAGCUCUGGCUGUAACUCAUGUUUUCGUGGUUGCAGUUUUAAAGCGGUAACUUAGAAUUACCUCUGUCGUAAUACCUAAGCAAUACAAUCAGCUGCCUGUCACUUCUGUCACAUGCAUGCAGAACCCUCUGCAAGCUUCUCAUUUUCUCGAGAAAUUGUAAUCCAGAGUCAAGUUCACUGUGACUACCUCACAUCUGAACGUAAACUGCAUUCAAAUCCUCAAUUCAGUGUAUUGUCAUUGUGUGUGACGUGACUUUUGACAAUUAAUGGUGAAGAUGGACUCUGCACUGAAGAUGGAAAAUAGCAAUCAGCGUUUCUUCUACAAUGUCCUCUGCUCUUGAGAUCUGCUUUUUUCAAUGUUUUCCCACCCCCCUUGGUCAAUAGCCAAUUUAUUGAAACAUGCUUUGUUUGGAGGGACUUGAAAUAGAAGGGUUGUAUUCAUGGCUUCUGUUAUCUUUUUGAGUAUCCACGAGCAAAUAGCUUGGGUGUUAGAAUGCCUUUACUGUCACCCUGUAAUAAAAUAGAUUAAAUAAAUGAGUGUCUUGAUCCAGUUGCAUGAUUUUAGACAGGAAUCACUUGAUAAGAGAGAACAUGUUUAGCUUUGAAUAUCCCCUUCAUCCAAUCUGAGCCUUUUUUUUUUUUUACACUUCUCCAGCUGUCCUACAAUCACAUUUUCUAGCAUAUACCUAAUGUAACUUUAUGGUUUAUGAAGAACUGAGAGAUACUAGGAUUUUGUACAAAUGUAUGUGCCUAUUUCUUUAUAAUUACAGAGCAACCUAAAAGUCGGUAUGAAUGUACUGCAGAGGAGAUCCAAACAGGUUUCAUUGCUUUCCUUGGCUACAACUUUCUAAAUUUUGGCUUUAGUUUAGAAAUUCCUCUACCUGGACGAAAAAUACGGUAUUUUCAGGACUUCACUAGUAGUCUCAGGUGGUUCUUGGGGCUUUGUGCUUCAUUCAUUCUGAUCUCUUGAAGUGAGACGCACGACCAAGUUGAACUUUAAAAAAAUAAA